ACUUUGACCGUGCAAAGGUAGCAUAAUCAUUUGCCCUAUAAUUGAGGGCUAGUAUGAAUGGUUCGACGUAAGCAAAACUGUCUCUAUAUUGAUUUUUUAGAAUUUGAUUUUUAGGUGAAGAAACCUAAAUUAGAUUAAAAGACAAGAAGACCCUAUUGAGCUUUAAAAAAAUAAAUAGAAUAAUAACUUUUUAUUCAAAAAAUUUAUCUAUUUAAUAUUUUGGUUGGGGCGACUAAGGAACAAAUAAAGCUUCUUUCUUUAUUAAAGUUUUACAAAUAUUGAUCCAAAUAUUUUGAUUAAAGAAAAUAGUUACCAUAGGGAUAACAGCAUAAUUCUCUUUAAGAGUUCAUAUCGAAAAGAGAGUUUGUGACCUCGAUGUUGGACUAGAAUAUCCUAAAGAUGCA
rnacentral:rRNA from 1 species